CUUGUAUUCCCUCUGUCCGGAAAUACUUGUCAUCGAAAUAGAUGUAUCUAGAUGUAUUUUAGUUAUAGAUACAUUCAUUUUCAUUCAUUGAUGACAAGUGAUUCCGGAUGGACGGAGUACUAG
rnacentral:pre_miRNA from 1 species